rnacentral:rRNA from 2 species
AACGGGUGAGUAACACGUGAGUAACCUGCCCUUAACUCUGGGAUAAGCCUGGGAAACUGGGUCUAAUACCGGAUAGGAGCGCCCACCGCAUGGUGGGUGUUGGAAAGAUUUAUCGGUUUUGGAUGGACUCGCGGCCUAUCAGCUUGUUGGUGAGGUAAUGGCUCACCAAGGCGACGACGGGUAGCCGGCCUGAGAGGGUGACCGGCCACACUGGGACUGAGACACGGCCCAGACUCCUACGGGAGGCAGCAGUGGGGAAUAUUGCACAAUGGGCGAAAGCCUGAUGCAGCGACGCCGCGUGAGGGAUGACGGCCUUCGGGUUGUAAACCUCUUUCAGUAGGGAAGAAGCGAAAGUGACGGUACCUGCAGAAGAAGCACCGGCUAACUACGUGCCAGCAGCCGCGGUAAUACGUAGGGUGCGAGCGUUAUCCGGAAUUAUUGGGCGUAAAGAGCUCGUAGGCGGUUUGUCGCGUCUGUCGUGAAAGUCCGGGGCUUAACCCCGGAUCUGCGGUGGGUACGGGCAGACUAGAGUGCAGUAGGGGAGACUGGAAUUCCUGGUGUAGCGGUGGAAUGCGCAGAUAUCAGGAGGAACACCGAUGGCGAAGGCAGGUCUCUGGGCUGUAACUGACGCUGAGGAGCGAAAGCAUGGGGAGCGAACAGGAUUAGAUACCCUGGUAGUCCAUGCCGUAAACGUUGGGCACUAGGUGUGGGGACCAUUCCACGGUUUCCGCGCCGCAGCUAACGCAUUAAGUGCCCCGCCUGGG